UCAGUCGAUCCUACGGGGAGGCAGCAGUGGGGGAAUAUUGCACAAUGGGCGCAAGCCUGAUGCAGCCAUGCCGCGUGUGUGAAGAAGGACCUUCGGGUUGUAAAGCACUUUCAGUCGUGAGGAAGGUAGUGUAGUUAAUAGCUGCAUUAUUUGACGUUAGCGACAGAAGAAGCACCGGCUAACUCCGUGCCAGCAGCCGCGGUAAUACGGAGGGUGCGAGCGUUAAUCGGAAUUACUGGGCGUAAAGCGCAUGCAGGUGGUUUGUUAAGUCAGAUGUGAAAGCCCGGGGCUCAACCUCGGAAUUGCAUUUGAAACUGGCAGACUAGAGUACUGUAGAGGGGGGUAGGAAUUUCAGGUGUAGCGGUGAAAUGCGUAGAGAUCUGAAGGAAUACCGGUGGCGAAGGCGGCCCCCUGGACAGAUACUGACACUCAGAUGCGAAAGCGUGGGGAGCAAACAGGAUUAGAUACCCUGGUAG
rnacentral:rRNA from 1 species